rnacentral:rRNA from 1 species
AAAUGAAUAGACGGGGGCCCGCACAAGCGGUGGAGCAUGUGGUUUAAUUCGAAGCAACGCGAAGAACCUUACCAAGAAUUGACAUCUGCCUUUAAUGCGUGGAAACACGCAAAGCUUCGGCGAGGCAAGACAGGUGGUGCAUGGUUGUCGUCAGCUCGUGUCGUGAGAUGUUGGGUUAAGUCCCGCAACGAGCGCAACCCUUGUUGUCAGUAACCAGCGAGUUAAGUCGGGGACACUGGCGAGACUGCCGCGGACAACGCGGAGGAAGGCGGGGACGACGUCAAAUCAUCAUGCCCCUUAUGACUUGGGCAACACACGUGCUACAAUGGGCUUUACAAAGUGAUGCAAACCUGCGAGGGGGAGCAAACCACAAAAAGAAGUCCUCAGUUCGGAUUGUAGUCUGCAACUCGACUACAUGAAGUCGGAAUCGCUAGUAAUCGCAAAUCAGAAUGUUGCGGUGAAUACGUUCUCGGGCCUUGUACACACCGCCCGU